UCAGAAUCGUUCUGGAGGUUCAUCAUUGUGUCUGUGGGUUUAGCAGCACUCAUAAUAAUUGUUGUGGCAGUCAACAUCUGGACAAGAACUAAAGGGACAAAAACACAGAUGGAUGAAAACACAGUGAAUAAUGAUGAAGAUGAAGAUGAUGGUGUGGUGAACUAUGAAAACGAUGGAGACCCUUCUGCCUCUGUCAGACUCCACUGAUCAACAACUUCCAUAUCAACAUCAGCUCAUCAGAGAAAAGACUCCACUGCAGUUAAAUAACAGCACAUUUACACGAGUAGUUGAAGCCUUUAGGGAGCUGGCUGGCAGGCAGUAGUGGGAAAACGGUAGCAGGUUAAUCUGAA